UUUUUAAGACGGGCGGUCAGCGCUGCCGGUAUAGCGCGCUGCCGCGUAUCAUCCCUGCAAACCAUCAGCGGGUAAAAAACCAGAUAAUCAGUGGGUAACAUGGUGGUAAACGUGGGGAUAAACAUAUAGAGUGUGUCUUAGGCCGAGCGAAUAUUUAACCCACUCACAUACGUAUACAUGUGAUCAUACAACAAAAAAUAACCCGAAAAUUUGCGUUGGUGUUAGUGCAUAGAGAAAAAAUGUGUAGUUGUAUUGAAAUAUUUGUCACAAGCGGGUAGCCGUGGUUGGCUGGGAUUGAUUUACCUUUAGAUUUACUCCGUAAUUACAAGUAAAGAAUAAUAGUUAAUGUUUUAAUUAAAAAUAUCGUUAUUUUAUGGUAAAUUUUACUUAAACAAAUGACAGAGAUAGUAAAUCAUAUAUUUUUUUAUAAAUAAAAAACAAAGAAGUUAAAUAAUUUUUAAAUUAAUUUUAUAACUCAUACUUAUUGCUUUAUUUCUUUUUUUAACUUUAUUGGUAACGAUUUUGAAGGCUUUGGAGAAAACUUUGCACUCGAGUGAUGUAUUACCACCGGUGGUACACAAAUGUUUACACUUCUAAUUCAAAAACCAUACUAGAAAGAGAUAUGCAUAAUUCCGCGAAGGAACAAGUUGGUUUUGCGUGCAUAUUGCGCAGUAGAAUAGUUCCGUUGAACGAACAACUUGAUUUCUCGCGAAUGUGCUGUAUACAUAUGUACAUACAUAUGUACGUACGUAGAACGUGUUAAAGAUGAACCGGAUUUUAUGGAAUCAUCAUGAUUAUAUGCAGAGCCGUUUGCGCAUGCAUAAAUUUUUCAUUUAAGCUGAAAAUGCUCAAUUCUACUAUUUCGUGUCCCGUGAUGCUAAAUUUUGGUGUAAUCUACUAAUAAAAUUUUGGUGGUGAAAUAUCUAAUCGUGACGAGUACCCCUCCAAAAAGCGAAACGUUUCAACACUUGGCACACCAGGAACCUUCUCUAUAAAUCUACAUUCUCUGCCUCACUAUCAUGUCUGUAAAUAUGUAUGCAAGAA